GACGAACGCUGGCGGCGUGCUUAACACAUGCAAGUCGAGCGAGCGGCGGACGGGUGAGUAAUGUCUGGGAAACUGCCUGAUGGAGGGGGAUAACUACUGGAAACGGUAGCUAAUACCGCAUACCAUCAGAUGUGCCCAGAUGGGAUUAGCUAGUAGGUGGGGUAAGGGCUCACCUAGGCGACGCUCCCUAGCUGGUCUGAGAGGAUGACCAGCAAAACUGGAACUGCGAGACGGUCCAGACGCCUACGUGAGGCAGCAGUGGGGAAUAGUGCACAAGGGGCGCAAGCCUGAUGCAGCCAUGCCGCGUGUGUGAAGAAGGCCUUCGGGUUGUAAAGCACUUUCAGCGAGGAGGCGUUACUCGCAGAAGAAGCACCGGCUAACUCCGUGCCAGCAGCCGCGGUAAUUC
rnacentral:rRNA from 1 species